rnacentral:rRNA from 1 species
UACGUAGGGGGCGAGCGUUGUCCGGAUUCAUUGGGCGUAAAGAGCUCGUAGGCGGCUUGGUUAGUUGGGUGUGAAACCUCCAGCUUAACCUGGAGACGCCACUCAAUACUGCCAUGGCUAGAGUCCGGUAGGGGACCACGGAAUUCCUGGUGUAGCGGUGAAAUGCGCAGAUAUCAGGAGGAACACCGAUGGCGAAGGCAGAUCUCUGGGCCGUAACUGACGCUGAGGAGCGAAAGCAUGGGGAGCGAACAGG